CGGAAGGCAGCAGCCGCAACGUAGUCUUC
rnacentral:SRP_RNA from 11 species